rnacentral:rRNA from 1 species
CCAAUAGCGUAUAUUAAAGUUGUUGCAGUUAAAAAGCUCGUAGUUGAAUUUCGGGGUUAGUAGGUUGGUCAUGCCUCUGGUAUGUACUGGUCUCACUGAUUCCUCCUUCCUGAUGAGCCGUAAUGCCAUUAAUUUGGUGUUGCGGAGAAUUUGGACUGUUACUUUGAAAAAAUUAGAGUGUUUAAAGCAAGCUAACGCUUGAAUACAUUAGCAUGGAAUAAUGAAAUAGGACGUUCGAUCCUAUUUUGUUGGUUUCUAGGAUUGACGUAAUGAUUAAUAGGGAUAGUUGGGGGCAUUAGUAUUCAAUUGUCAGAGGUGAAAUUCUUGGAUUUAUUGAAGACUAACUACUGCGAAAGCAUUUGCCAAGGAUGUUUUCAUUAAUCAAGAACGAAAGUUAGGGGAUCGAAGACGAUCAGAUACCGUCGUAGUCUUAACCAUAAACUAUGCCGACUAGGGAUCGGAUGAUGUUAAUUUUUUAAUGACUCAUUCGGCGCCUUACG